AGUGAACGCUGGCGGCGUGCUUAACGCAUGCAAGUCGAACGAGAACGGGUUAUAGCUUGCUAUAAUUGUCAGCUAAGUGGCGCACGGGUGAGUAAUGUAUAGGUAAUAUGCCUCUUACUAAGGGAUAACAAAUGGAAACGUUUGCUAAUACCUUAUACUCCUUAUUAACAGAAGUUAAUAAGGGAAAGAUUUAUUGGUAAGAGAUUAGCCUGUAUUGUAUCAGUUAGUUGGUGGGGUAAUGGCUUACCAAGACUAUGACACAUAACUGGUUUGAGAGGAUGAUCAGUCACACUGGAACUGAGACACGGUCCAGACUCCUACGGGAGGCAGCAGUGGGGAAUAUUGCACAAUGGACGAAAGUCUGAUGCAGCAACGCCGCGUGGAGGAUGACACAUUUCGGUGCGUAAACUCCUUUUAUAUGAGAAGAUAAUGACGGUAUUAUAUGAAUAAGCACUGGCUAACUCCGUGCCAGCCGCCGCCGUAAAAC
rnacentral:rRNA from 1 species